UACAGAGGGUGCUAGCGUUGUUCGGAAUCAUUGGGCGUAAAGGGCGUGUAGGCGGUUUGUUAAGUCAUGUGUGAAAUCCCUCGGCUCAACCGGGGAACGACGCAUGAAACUGGCAAGCUAGAGUACCAAAGAGGGGGGUGGAAUUCCCGGUGUAGCGGUGAAAUUCGUAGAUAUCGGGAGGAACACCGGUGGCGAAGGCGGCGACCUGGGUCGAUACUGACGCUGAGGCGCGAAAGCGUGGGGAGCAAACAGG
rnacentral:rRNA from 1 species